rnacentral:misc_RNA from 1 species
AACAUACUUACUGGAAGCCAUGGCGCAGUGGAUUCCGAAAACUGCGUGGAAAGUGUCAAACCUCAACAAGCGGUAUGGCGCGCCGUACGUAGCGAAAGGGUACGCAUCACUAGACCCGAGAUGUAGUCUGGAUGCCUACUCGUCGUUGCAGCAGACAGUGACGUCAGCGGAUGUGAAGAAAGCACUGCUUUCUAUCGACUGUACCUCCUCUGGUGCCCUCGUGAUUGACGUGCGCAGCGAACCAGAGAGACGGCUGCGGCCGCUUCUGUCCCCUGCGAUAGUAGCGCUGCAUCCUCACGACAUCUUGUCGGGUGCGGCGUGUCCCAUUCUGCCAUUGAACAAGGAAAGGGCAGAGAUGUUUGUAGUGGCCUCGGAGGCCCAGCGUGCAGUGAACACUUGCACCGCACUGAGGCGGUGGGGUUUCUCGCGUGUGGCCGCAGUCAGCGUCGACGCUGUGUCGGAGGCGAUUGCGGUGGUGCCGAAGCCGGCGGACACAGCUACUAGCAGCCCCACAAAAAGCUGAACAACAUCGUGCGCGUGUGGAGUCGUUCGGAGAAGUUUCUUUGUGCUGCAGCUGUGGCGAUUGUCGUCGGUUGGUGGCGAACGGGGUGUGUCGAUUGGUGCUUCUCAAUGAAGCAUGGCACCCCGAUGUAUCCGCAAAACGGUUCUUUUGUGAGAAUCACAAUGCGAUUAAAGGGGGGAAAAAACAAAGCGAACGCACGGCAGACGUGCGCCGGAGCUAAGUGAUGUACGCGGCAUCGCCUGGUGUUGAGUAUGGCACUCGAAGCUUUCAAGGGAGGAGAAAGGCAUUAGAAAGUGCAAAUGUGAUGAUGCGAUUGCCUUGUUUUUUUUUUUCGCGCACUACACAGUGCAACAACUCUUUGAGCCUGCCAGCUUUCCCCGG